rnacentral:tRNA from 1 species
AGAGAUGUAGCUCAGUAGGAGAAUGCUUGCCUGGCAUACAUGAUACCCUGUGUUCAAUUCUCAGCACCUCCA